rnacentral:ncRNA from 1 species
UUAUCAAUUAAGGGGUGCCCCAAAAUAAGGGCUGAGAUCAUACCCAUCGGCGAUAAGUCGCUGAGCACCUGAUCCGGGUAAUGCCGGCGUAGGGAACGUAUCCACAACCUCC